rnacentral:rRNA from 1 species
GACGAACGCUGGCGGCGUGCUUAACACAUGCAAGUCGAACGGAAAGGCCCUGCUUUUGUGGGGUGCUCGAGUGGCGAACGGGUGAGUAACACGUGAGUAACCUGCCCUUGACUUUGGGAUAACUUCAGGAAACUGGGGCUAAUACCGGAUAGGAGCUCCUGCUGCAUGGUGGGGGUUGGAAAGUUUCGGCGGUUGGGGAUGGACUCGCGGCUUAUCAGCUUGUUGGUGGGGUAGUGGCUUACCAAGGCUUUGACGGGUAGCCGGCCUGAGAGGGUGACCGGCCACAUUGGGACUGAGAUACGGCCCAGACUCCUACGGGAGGCAGCAGUGGGGAAUAUUGCACGAUGGGCGGAAGCCUGAUGCAGCAACGCCGCGUGCGGGAUGACGGCCUUCGGGUUGUAAACCGCUUUCGCCUGUGAAGAAGAGUGAGUGACGGUAAUGGGUAAAGAAGCACCGGCUAACUACGUG